rnacentral:lncRNA from 1 species
AACAAAGGAGUUCCAUUUCGACAAGGAAGUGAUCAAGUUGUUGGAAUUUCAUCUGCUAGAGAUUCAACACGUGCAUCAUCUGUUAUUGCCAUGGAUACAAUUGGCCACAGUGCAAAUGAAAACUCUAUGGAAAGUGUUGAAAACUAUCCUGGUGAUAUUGAUGAUGUUCAGUUCCCUUCUUCUAGCAUAUAUGGUAACCUGGAUAUGAAUGACACAUCUGAAAUGAAUUAUAGUAAUCAAGCACAGCAGAGCAUUUGUUUCCAACCUGCUGCUGAAGUAGUUCCUGGAGAAAUGGGGGUCAGCAGUACUAAUGAUGGUGAAGAAAUCUUCAAUGCAGAAAUUGUGAC